ensembl:snRNA U6 U6 spliceosomal RNA
AUGAUUCUCGACUUGGCAACACAUAUACUAAAAUUAGAAUAAUACAUAGAAGAUUAUCAUGGCCUCUGUGCAAGGAUGACACACACAUUUUUGACGUGUUUUAUAUAUAC